GGUCCGUUCGUCUAGUGGCUAGGACGCAAGAUUUUCAUUCUUGUAACACGAGUUCGAUUCUCGUACGGACUAC
rnacentral:tRNA from 1 species